AUUGAACGCUGGCGGAAUGCCUUACACAUGCAAGUCGAACGGCAGCACGGGUGCUUGCACCUGGUGGCGAGUGGCGAACGGGUGAGUAAUACAUCGGAACAUGUCCUGUAGUGGGGGAUAGCCCGGCGAAAGCCGGAUUAAUACCGCAUACGAUCUACGGAUGAAAGCGGGGGACCUUCGGGCCUCGCGCUAUAGGGUUGGCCGAUGGCUGAUUAGCUAGUUGGUGGGGUAAAGGCCUACCAAGGCGACGAUCAGUAGCUGGUCUGAGAGGACGACCAGCCACACUGGGACUGAGACACGGCCCAGACUCCUACGGGAGGCAGCAGUGGGGAAUUUUGGACAAUGGGCGAAAGCCUGAUCCAGCAAUGCCGCGUGUGUGAAGAAGGCCUUCGGGUUGUAAAGCACUUUUGUCCGGAAAGAAAUCCUUGGCCCUGAUACGGUCGGGGGAUGACGGUACCGGAAGAAUAAGCACCGGCUAACUACGUG
rnacentral:rRNA from 1 species